UGGUACGAUCGUACCAGAACGGCGUGCGACGGCGGGACCUGCCACCCGGCGCGCCGUG
rnacentral:ncRNA from 1 species